rnacentral:lncRNA from 1 species
CACUAGCAAACUUCAGUUCUCCAGGCCAGAUUGUGGCUCUGAGCUCCUUGGGCCCCAGAAUGGGGCUGGGUGCCCAGGAAGGCCAGGUCUCCUUUGGCUUGCUGUCUGCUCCAUGACCUGCCCAACCAGCACAGCCAGUGUGGAGGCCAGGUCCUGGCUGUCCUCCCCACCCACGGAGGCCCUGCCCUCAAUCCAGCACCCGGUGUUCCCAAAACCUGGGCCCCAAGAGAAGAGAGGUGCACAGGGCCGCUCGGGAGGAAGGCCCGUGCAGGCAGAGAGAAGUACCAGAUGGAGGCACAGUGGUACCCACCUGAGCUGUAGGCCCGUGCCCGCAUGGAUGAGUACCUGGCAUGGCAGCAUGUCGCCAUCCAGCUGCAAGCUAUAAUGCAGGCUUGGGCCAGGACCCCUAGGGCUGGAAGGGACCAGUUGGCCCAUAUCCCACCUACCAUCCACUGCCCCUGGCAGACAUGGCUAAUCUAUCACAGCACUCUUUCCCCUGAGCCUGAACGAAACUUCAGAAUCCUGAACACAGAGCCCACAGGGCACCACUAAUGGGUGGUGGCUGGAGAGGGCGGAGAGGAGGCUGAGGAGGUUUGGAGGGGCCCAAGAUAAGCUGCCCCUCUCUUCCCCACCCAGUCUCUCCUGCUCCACUUCUUGGGGCAGCCUGUGGACACCACAAAGCCGGAGCAGCUGUUGGGGAAGCUGACAGCUGCUCUGUAACACUUGGAUCGGCAAGUCCUGGUGGCCAAGGCUUUCUUGGUGACCGAGCAAGUCUCCCCUGAUGAGGAUUUUAGGCUGGUUAAUUUUAAAACUGCAGAUGAGAAGCAGGCUCCGAGGAGUGGAAUUUGCUCGCCCUUUGAUGAGAGACAGUUGCAUUUGUGAAGGAAAUCUCCAUUCCUCCCUCUGCGCCAGGAGGAAGUAGGGAUGGCCUUAUCUAUGAAAACUCUUAAUGGGGAAGGCAAGAACUUAAGUUGUUUACUGUCUGGCAACCUCAUGUAACUGCCCCCCCCACCGCCCCCCCCCACCCCCCCCGCCAAAAUCCUCUUUUGUGUUUAGCUGAGGAUAAUAUUUGAGCGGUGACUUCUGCCAUUUACUCAAUCCGGUUUGAUUCUUACCUAAAAGUUGUGGGACCGCCCAAUGGCCGGACCCUACUGGCACUGGUACCAUUUUAACUUUUUUUUUGUCUUGUAAAGAGAUAACUCACAUACCCAUGCCUUAAAUUUAGCCCUGUCCCCACGCGGCAGAAGCUCUGACUGCCCAUGGGUCCUGUCCCCACGCGGCAGAAGCUCUGACUGCCCAUGGGCCCUGUCCCCACGCGGCAGAAGCUCUGACUGCCCAUGGGUCCUGUCCCCGUGCUAUUCUAUACUAUUCUCUAAAUAAAAGAGCACUACUGCCA